CAGUCGCCACGGUAAUACAGAGGGUGCGAGCGUUAAUCGGAUUUACUGGGCGUAAAGCGUGCGUAGGCGGCUUCUUAAGUCGGAUGUGAAAUCCCUGAGCUUAACUUAGGAAUUGCAUUCGAUACUGGGAAGCUAGAGUAUGGGAGAGGAUGGUAGAAUUCCAGGUGUAGCGGUGAAAUGCGUAGAGAUCUGGAGGAAUACCGAUGGCGAAGGCAGCCAUCUGGCAUAAUACUGACGCUGAGGUACGAAAGCAUGGGGAGCAAACAGGAUUAGAUACCCCUGUAGUCCCUGUCUCUUAUAU
rnacentral:rRNA from 1 species